rnacentral:lncRNA from 1 species
UCUGCCCAUCUCGGCAGCCACGAGCCGACGACUCAUUUCUUCAUCUCGACAACAAACACACACAACUCCAUCAGACAUGGCUGACAAGUCAUUACAUCCACAACUUUUAUCGAGGUUUUGAUUUCUUUGCCCUCCAGAAGUACUAACUACUUCUGAAAGUUAGUAAUAGAUCCCAAAUUAGGUUAGAUGAAAUUUGAUAGCUACGACAAGCAUGAUAUUUUUGCAUUUACAAUUUUUGGUGCUUCUAAUCUCUCUCAGUUACGUUGUGAUGGGAAAAAUUGUUCUUCCAGAGCAUCGUGCUUCCAAGAUCCUAGGUGCUUCAUAUGUACAUGCUUCUGCUUCUUCAUGGCUUCGUAUGUAUAUAUAAAUCGACUUCAAUUU